rnacentral:rRNA from 1 species
GGACUACUCGGGUUUCUAAUCCUGUUUGAUCCCCACGCUGUCGCGCCUGAGCGUCAGAAACGAGCCAGUGAGCCGCCUUCGCCACCGGUGUUCUUCCCAAUAUCUACGAAUUUCACCUCUACACUGGGAAUUCCACUCACCUCUCUCGUCCUCAAGUUCAACAGUUUCAAUGGCAAUUCCGGAGUUGAGCUCCGGGCUUUCACCACUGACUUGGAGAACCGCCUGCGCGCGCUUUACGCCCAGUAAUUCCGAACAACGCUAGCCCCCUUCGUAUUACCGCGGCGGCUGGCAC